GCCGAUGUAGCUCAACGGUAGAGCAACUGAUUUGUAAUCAGUAGGUUGGAGGUUCGAUUCCUCUCAUCGGCU
rnacentral:tRNA from 2 species